CCUACGGGGGGCAGCAGUGGGGAAUUUUGGACAAUGGGCGAAAGCCUGAUCCAGCCAUGCCGCGUGCAGGAUGAAGGCCUUCGGGUUGUAAACUGCUUUUGUACGGAACGAAAAGACUCCUUCUAAUAAAGGGGGUUCAUGACGGUACCGUAAGAAUAAGCACCGGCUAACUACGUGCCAGCAGCCGCGGUAAUACGUAGGGUGCAAGCGUUAAUCGGAAUUACUGGGCGUAAAGCGUGCGCAGGCGGUUAUAUAAGACAGAUGUGAAAUCCCCGGGCUCAACCUGGGAACUGCAUUUGUGACUGUAUAGCUAGAGUACGGCAGAGGGGGAUGGAAUUCCGCGUGUAGCAGUGAAAUGCGUAGAUAUGCGGAGGAACACCGAUGGCGAAGGCAAUCCCCUGGGCCUGUACUGACGCUCAUGCACGAAAGCGUGGGGAGCAAACAGGAUUAGAUACCCUGGUAGUC
rnacentral:rRNA from 1 species